rnacentral:RNase_MRP_RNA from 1 species
CCCUCGCUCAAUAGAUCGCUAUUCGAAGCUCACAAACAGAGACGCUGUGACUUAUCACAGCGUCUCGAUCACUCUUUAUGGCUUUGGGAGAAAGUCCCCGGACGUCUUCGUUUCGACGGAGUUUGCGGAAACGCGCCGCCAUAGAAGCACUGCGGUUGACCUUUGUGCCCAGGCCCUCGCCCUGCGCUGGCCCUGCCCUCCGCUACAUCUACCUUUGUCAAAGGCCUUUGUCUCACCGUCUUCGCUCCCCUCGGUCCCCUUGGAUGAAGAUAUGAGUCCGCUGUCGAGGUGCGGGCGAGUUCUGGACGGACGGGGUUGUCUGGCAGGUGGAUGGUGGGUAGACGCUUAGUGCUCGUGCGUGUGGUGUCGGGUCGCUUAGGAUUUUUUGUCGAGAUUGACAGGUAUGCGAUUGCCCGGCGAAAGCUGGGUUACUCAAUGGGGCUCAUUCUUGAUGCGAGG